CUUUACACUCUGGGUGAUCAUUGUAAAAAUCUCUCUACCCUUGGGAAUAUUUUACCGCAUGCAUUCUGUUGCCAGUUUAUUUGAGGCAUAUUGUAACAUAUGUGAAGCAGCUGUUUGCUAACAGUCUGCUGACACCGUUAUGCUAAAACCGUGACAUUCAAGUUGCUGAACGCUACAGAAGAAAGUCUCUGUGCGGACAGGAUCUCCAAUUGUUUUCUUUUCAUGUGUUGACCACUGUUGACAUCAGUGAAAAUAUAGCCUUGUGGGAAAGAAAUAUCCUUGAUUCCAGUAAUUAACACCUUGUCCAUUGGUGUAUAAACAUGCAGUAAUUAGCACUUUGGUUUGAAUCGAGAUCUUCUCACUUUUAAAACACUUUCGACAUUAUCAAGGCAUGUCAUCUCUCUGGCUCUCAGAGGGCUAAAGGGUGUCUACUUGUAUUUAUAUUCUUACUAUAUAGUAUGAAGGAUCCAUAUAUAUAACAACACUGAGC